AUUGAACGCUGGCGGCAUGCUUUACACAUGCAAGUCGAACGGUACGCGGGGGGUAACCCUGGCGACGAGUGGCGAACGGGUGAGUAAUACAUCGGAACAUGUCUGGAGUGGGGGAUAGCUCGGCGAAAGCCGCAUUAAUACCGCAUACGCUCUGAGGAGGAAGCGGGGGACCGUAAGGCCUCGCGCUGCAGGAGUGGCCGAUGUCGGAUUAGCUAGUUGGGAGGUAAAGGCUCACCAAGGCGACGAUCCGUAGCUGGUCUGAGAGGAUGAUCAGCCACAUGGGACUGAGACACGGCCCAGACUCCUACGGGAGGCAGCAGUGGGGAAUUUUGGACAAUGGGGCAACCCUGAUCCAGCCAUGCCGCGUGAGUGAAGAAGGCCUUCGGGUUGUAAAGCUUUUCGGACGGGACGAAAUGGUUAGCGUGUAUAACGCUGACUGAUGACGGUACCGUAAUAGAAGCACCGGCUAACUACGUGCCAGCAGCCGCGGUAAUACGUAGGGUGCGAGCGUUAAUGGAAUUACUGGGCGUAAAGCGUGCGCAGGCGGUUCGCCAAGUCAGGUGUGAAAUCCCCGGCUUAACCUGGCAAUUGCGCYUGAA
rnacentral:rRNA from 1 species